rnacentral:rRNA from 1 species
GCAUGGUCUUAGCUUGCUAAGGCUGAUGGCGACCGGCGCACGGGUGAGUAACACGUAUCCAACCUGCCGUCUACUCUUGGCCAGCCUUCUGAAAGGAAGAUUAAUCCAGGAUGGCAUCAUGAGUUCACAUGUCCGCAUGAUUAAAGGUAUUUUCCGGUAGACGAUGGGGAUGCGUUCCAUUAGAUAGUAGGCGGGGUAACGGCCCACCUAGUCAACGAUGGAUAGGGGUUCUGAGAGGAAGGUCCCCCACAUUGGAACUGAGACACGGUCCAAACUCCUACGGGAGGCAGCAGUGAGGAAUAUUGGUCAAUGGGCGAUGGCCUGAACCAGCCAAGUAGCGUGAAGGAUGACUGCCCUAUGGGUUGUAAACUUCUUUUAUAAAGGAAUAAAGUCGGGUAUGCAUACCCGUUUGCAUGUACUUUAUGAAUAAGGAUCGGCUAACUCCGUGCCAGCAGCCGCGGUAAUACGGAGGAUCCGAGCGUUAUCCGGAUUUAUUGGGUUUAAAGGGAGCGUAGAUGGAUGUUUAAGUCAGUUGUGAAAGUUUGCGGCUCAACCGUAAAAUUGCAGUUGAUACUGGAUGUCUUGAGUGCAGUUGAGGCAGGCGGAAUUCGUGGUGUAGCGGUGAAAUGCUUAGAUAUCACGAAGAACUCCGAUUGCGAAGGCAGCCUG